rnacentral:misc_RNA from 1 species
GAAAUGCAAUAAGUAAUGUGAAUUGCAGAAUUCCGUGAAUCAUCGAAUCUUUGAACGCACAUUGCGCCCUCUGGCAUUCCGGGGGGGAUGCCUGUCCGAGCGUCAUUACGCACCCUCAAGCCCGGCUUGUGUGAUGGGCCCCGGCGUCUCGUUCGCGAGACGGGCCCGAAAGGCAGCGGCGGCGUCGACCCGAUGAGCCCGAGCGUAUGGGGACUUCUGUCACACGUUCGCGGUGCGGACCGGCGCCUGCUUGACUUUUCUGAUUAUCCAGGUUGACCUCGGAUCAGGUAGGGAUACCCGCUGAACUUAAGC